rnacentral:misc_RNA from 1 species
GAUGAAGAACGUAGCGAAAUGCGAUAAGUAAUGUGAAUUGCAGAAUUCAGUGAAUCAUCGAAUCUUUGAACGCACAUUGCGCCCGCCAGUAUUCUGGCGGGCAUGCCUGUUCGAGCGUCAUUUCAACCCACAAGCACAGCUUGGUGUUGGGACUCGCGUUAAUUCGCGUUCCUCAAAUUGAUUGGCGGUCACGUCGAGCUUCCAUAGCGUAGUAGUAAAACCCUCGUUACUGGUAAUCGUCGCGGCCACGCCGUUAAACCCCAACUUCUGAAUGUUGACCUCGGAUCAGGUAGGAAUACCCGCUGAACUUAAGCAUAUCAAUAAGCGGAGGA